rnacentral:lncRNA from 1 species
UUAAUUGAAGAAUGGUCAAGAUUAAUUAAUUAGUUAAUUAAUUAUACGAAAGGUUCGUAUUGGGCUUUUAAGUUAGUUUGGGCUUCGGGGUCCAAAAUUGUUUUGGUCCACUAGGCCCAUUAUGUUUAAGUUGUAUGACAACUAAAACAAAUAUGGGUAUUUAGCCCAAUAACAAAAGGAGGCCGGCCAUGUCAAGGGUAGUGGGAAUUUAUGCUUAAUUGCAAGUUUGCCACUAACCUAAGAGAUGAAGUAUAAAGUCAUCUUUAUAGCUUUGUUUCUCAUUAGGUUUUUUUUCUAAUAGAAAUUGGGUGAAACAUUUUCUCUCAUUUUCUACAUAGAGGCCAGCCACUUAGACGAUUUUUACUAGCAUCUAAAAUCUCUCUAAGUCAUCCAUAUCAUCUUCACAAUAUACAACCUUGGUGAA